ensembl:rRNA 5S_rRNA 5S ribosomal RNA
GGCUGUGGCCAUACCACACUGAACGCACAAUGAUCUUGUCUGAGCUCAGAAGCUAAGCAGGGUUGGGUCUGGUUAGUACUUGGAUGGGAGAGUCUGCUUUGACGCUGUUU